UACGAAGGGGGCUAGCGUUGCUCGGAAUCACUGGGCGUAAAGCGCACGUAGGCGGAUUGCUAAGUCAGGGGUGAAAUCCUGGAGCUCAACUCCAGAACUGCCUUUGAUACUGGCGAUCUUGAGUCCGGGAGAGGUGAGUGGAACUGCGAGUGUAGAGGUGAAAUUCGUAGAUAUUCGCAAGAACACCAGUGGCGAAGGCGGCUCACUGGCCCGGUACUGACGCUGAGGCGCGAAAGCGUGGGGAGCAAACAGA
rnacentral:rRNA from 1 species